rnacentral:rRNA from 1 species
UGGGGAAUAUUGGACAAUGGGGGGAACCCUGAUCCAGCCAUGCCGCGUGUGUGAAGAAGGCCUUAUGGUUGUAAAGCACUUUAAGCGAGGAGGAGGGUACUGGUAUUAAUACUACCAGGUACUGGACGUUACUCGCAGAAUAAGCACCGGCUAACUCUGUGCCAGCAGCCGCGGUAAUACAGAGGGUGCGAGCGUUAAUCGGAUUUACUGGGCGUAAAGCGUGCGUAGGCGGCUAAUUGAGUCGGAUGUGAAAUCCCUGAGCUUAACUUGGGAAUUGCAUUCGAUACUGGUUAGCUAGAGUGUGGGAGAGGAUGGUAGAAUUCCAGGUGUAGCGGUGAAAUGCGUAGAGAUCUGGAGGAAUACCGAUGGCGAAGGCAGCCAUCUGGCCUAACACUGACGCUGAGGUACGAAAGCAUGGGGAGCAAACAGG